CUCACGUUUUCCAUUUUUUCGGCAAUUAUUAGACGAGUUAUGUAUAGUUUUGGAGUUGUUGCUUCUAGUUGCUUUAAUCUGAGAUUUCAGCAAUUAAAGUUGGAUUAUUUAGCUGUGAAUUGAGCUCCUUAGACCUGGGAUAAGUUUCUUUGAAGCUUAGUAGAGAUGUUUCGCUAAUUACGAAGCUAUUUCGGACUAUACGCGGGUUAUUCUAUCGAAUUGAUGCAAUUUGGGCAUUGUGUCUUCGCAGCAGGUUUUUGAACCAUGUGGAGCUUAUUUGGUGAUCUAGGAGGCUAGUUUAGAAGGUGUUCUACUCUGAGCGAGCUUGCGAUCGAACCCUGGAUUGUCUUCGACUGACUUGUGAGGGCUCUUGGAGGUUACACUUGAGCAGGCUUAGGACUUCGUUGAACUGAUUCUUGGGACAUCUUGUGGCUGAUUUAAGCUGAGUACGAGGUGGGUCGGACCUAACCAGAGCAAGUGAAGCUCCCCUAUGUUCUAUAUGUAUUCUAGAAGUGGUCUAGCCUAUGCUUAUAUGAUUAAUAGGGACUUGAAAUGCGUCACCUUAACGUUAGCUUAUUUGAAAUGGAAUCUCUAUUAAGUAGAGAACAUACAUGCAUAAAGUAUUCAUGUUUAUGUUGACUAGUUGAUAUGUUUCUAGUAUGUUCCUAGACACUAGAGAACAAUGACAUUUUUAUGACA